rnacentral:rRNA from 1 species
GCUCAAAUUUGAAAUCUCACAGGGUUACCUGUGCGAAUUGUAGUUUAGAGAAACGUUUUCGGGGGCGACUUGGUUAUAAGUCCUUUGGAAUGAGGCAUCAUAGAGGGUGAGAAUCCCGUUUAUGAUCCAAUGUUCGCUCCUAUGUGAUACGUUUUCCAAGAGUCAGGUAGUUUGGGAUUGCUGCCUAAAAUGGGUGGUAAAUACCAUCUAAAGCUAAAUAUUGGCGAGAGACCGAUAGCGAACAAGUACCGUGAGGGAAAGAUGAAAAGAACUUUGAAAAGAGAGUUAAACAGUACGUGAAAUUGCCAAAAGGGAAACGCUUGGAACCAGUAUUGCCUCCAGGUAAUCAGCCGCACGUCCCGAAAGGGGUGCGUGUGGUGCACUUGCCUGUAGGCCGGCCAACAUCAGUUUGGUUUGGGGUAAAAAGCCGGAGGAAGGUAGCUUGGGCUUCGGCCUGAGUGUUAUAGCCUCCGGUAAUGCCUUGGACUGGACUGAGGACUGCAGCGUUAUUUGGAUACCCGAUCGCCUCCUGAACCUAUUCCGUAGACAGCAUGCUGACUAUGUAGAAGUCUAGGGAGCCCGGUCGGUUUGUCACACCAGCGCUUAGGAUGUUGGCGAAAUGGUUCCAAACGACCCGUCUUGAAACACGGACCAAGGAGUCUAACAUAUAUGCGAGUAUUUGGGUGGCAAACCCUUAUGCGAAAUGAAAGUAAACUUAGGUGGGAUCUUCGGUGCACCAUCGACCGGUCUGGAUUUUUUUGAUAGAUCUGAGUAAGAGCAUAUCUGUUGGGACCCGAAAGAUGGUGAACUAUGCCUGAAUAGGGUGAAGCCAGAGGAAACUCUGGUGGAGGCUCGUAGCGAUUCUGACGUGCAAAUCGAUCGUCAAAUUUGGGU